UCACGGCCUGCGGGAUCGGCAAGGCGCUGAACAGCAUCACUCCACUCCUAGCCCCCCUUCUCUCCUCUUUUUCCUCUCUCUCCCCCUCUCUCCCCUGUUUUGCCGGGGCGGAACUCAUGGCGGGUUCACGCCCUUGGUCCACGCCUUCUCGGAUUGUGCACACCUGGGCCUCAUCAGACCAGCUGGUAUAUCAGAAGGAGGAGAUCAGCUGUUCAACGCUGGAUUGUUGUGAAGGCUUCUAUUCCCCGGACCCAUUCCCGUGUUUCCCCGUGUGGUGUGUGGAAGGAGUGACAGGUCGCUAGUGGAGAGGAGAGAGGCUGUUUGGAGCGCGAGUGUGGUUUCCCCGUUUUCCCUGGAGCCCUGGACCCCUGCCCCUCACGUCUUGUAUAUAGCACUAACCCCGCACUGUCUAUACAUACACUCGGUGAAGAUUUGUAAUAAACUAUCUCUGUGUGAACGCUACCCAGGAGUCCUGCGAGUGGAUCCUCUAAGCAACCCGUGACAGUA